AGAGUUUGAUCCUGGCUCAGGACGAACGCUGGCGGCGUGCUUAACACAUGCAAGUCGAACGGAAAGGCCCUUUCGGGGGUACUCGAGUGGCGAACGGGUGAGUAACACGUGGGUGAUCUGCCCUGCACUUUGGGAUAAGCCUGGGAAACUGGGUCUAAUACCGGAUAGGACUACGCGAUGCAUGUCGUGUGGUGGAAAGCUUUUGCGGUGUGGGAUGGGCCCGCGGCCUAUCAGCUUGUUGGUGGGGUGAUGGCAUACCAAGGCGACGACGGGUAGCCGGCCUGAGAGGGUGACCGGCCACACUGGGACUGAGAUACGGCCCAGACUCCUACGGGAGGCAGCAGUGGGGAAUAUUGCACAAUGGGCGCAAGCCUGAUGCAGCGACGUCGCGUGAGGGAUGACGGCCUUCGGGUUGUAAACCUCUUUCAGUGCCGACGAAGCGCAAGUGACGGUAGGCAUAGAAGAAGGACCGGCCAACUACGUGCCAGCAGCCGCGGUAAUACGUAGGGUCCGAGCGUUGUCCGGAAUUACUGGGCGUAAAGAGCUCGUAGGUGGUUUGUCGCGUUGUUCGUGAAAACUCACAGCUCAACUGUGGGCGUGCGGGCGAUACGGGCAGACUUGAGUACUGCAGGGGAGACUGGAAUUCCUGGUGUAGCGGUGGAAUGCGCAGAUAUCAGGAGGAACACCGGUGGCGAAGGCGGGUCUCUGGGCAGUAACUGACGCUGAGGAGCGAAAGCGUGGGGAGCGAACAGGAUUAGAUACCCUGGUAGUCC
rnacentral:rRNA from 1 species